AAGAUAGUCAGUAUUCCAUUCCAUAGCAACAGAAGAUAGAAAGACUCCCUUACAUUAACAGAUCAGUCCAUCUCUCAAACCUCAUAAGAAAUGUUUCCUUUUGUGUUAGAUGGUGAUGACAACUAACACAGAGACCCACACUAGUCAAGGUAAACUGAGGAAACAGGUACAGAAUUCCAGUCACGGCAGAAGAUUGAACAGAAAGCUUAUAAAAAGCAGUUGUAUUGGGGAACUGUGCUUUGGGGAUAUAAUAGGAAAAUUACAAUAUGAUUUCAUAAUAGCUGAGACAAAAAUACACAAGCCCCUUGCAUUCUUAGGCCAGUCAAAACACCAGCAUGAAGAGGGAAAAUAGACAUGGAGUCCCAUCCUAACUGAAGAGCCAAUAGCACCUGGUCGCUGCUGGUAGUGAAAGAGGCAGGUUUCGCUAGUAGUAGGGUCCAUAGUAGGCUGACCAUGUUUCAGUUGAUGGCCACAUAUCCAGAUGCAUACAUGUUGGCCUUCCUGCUUGGAUGGAAAGAUGUCCUGGACUUCAGAAACCCAGGAAGCACACAGAUCUGAGGGGAGAAGAUAUUCCAAUGGAAAGAUUCCUGGAGACUGCAUCAUUUGUAACAAAUGGAGGUUUAUUUGGCUUGGGAUGAGGGAAGCAGAGUGAAGAAGUAUGCUUUCUGUGUCUAGUAGGGUUCCUAAUGCUGCAUCAUUCUGUGGUGUGAGCCCAGUCUACCUAGGAACCAGCAUCUAGAAAGAAGACAGCUACAAGAGAGAAGACAGUACCUGUGCACCCAGGCCCUUCAGUCAUGUGUGCAUGAAGUAAAGAAUAGGAGUUCCCUAGAUCAGAAUGGCCGUGGUUUCUUCAGUUGCCUCUCACCUUUAUGAAGAAUGAACUGUGGGGUAUUUGGAUCCUCUUUGUCACCCCAGUAAAGAAAUCUCUUUCCAUGUGAAGGAAUCCAGCCCUCAGCUCUAAGCCUACAAGCAUGAAGAUUAGGAGCAUGUGUUUAUGCGAGCCAAGUGCAAGCUGAUACCCCUGGAGGCCAGCAGAGGCCAUUGAAUCCUCUGGAAAUGAAAUUACAGGCAGCUGUGAUGGGUGCCUGACCCUGGAUCCACUGCAAGGAGAAAUCCCCUGAACAGUUGGUGACUAGAUGAUAUAACAUGUUAUCUACAGAACAAGACUAGAAUAAUAGUUUUAAGAUCAUUCCAUUAAAUGUAGAGAAGUUAAAGGAAGACACGAUGGACAGUAAUGAGAUUCCACAUCUGAGACUGGGCAGCAGCUCCCAGCCAGACUGGCCCAGCAUGCACUGAUUUAGCUCACUUUACCUCACAUUCAGUCGCAUCCAUCAACAGAACGAGGCCAUAGGCUCUUAAUGUUUAUAACGACUUCAUUCUUUGCUAUCUGUGUGCCUUUACCCAUACCACUCUACUCACUAGAACUGUCAAGAUACUGAUGAUACCCUUACAGAAGCUGGCAACCUGAGGGCAGGCCGGAUGAAAGAGUGACGAAAGGCUGGGACGUUGUGACUUCUUUGGCGAGAGCUCACCCUCUGAAUGGAAAGCUGACUCUGUUUCGGGGCCUUAGGAAAAGGUCUAAUAAACGUGCUCUGGUAAUCUUC